rnacentral:rRNA from 1 species
UACGUAGGGACCAAGCGUUGUUCGGAUUUACUGGGCGUAAAGGGCGCGUAGGCGGCAGAUCAAGUCAGUUGUGAAAUCUCCGGGCUUAACUCGGAAAGGUCAACUGAUACUGUGCGACUAGAGUGCAGAAGGGGCAACUGGAAUUCUCGGUGUAGCGGUGAAAUGCGUAGAUAUCGAGAGGAACACCGGCGGCGAAGGCGGGUUGCUGGGCUGACACUGACGCUGAGGCGCGAAAGCCAGGGGAGCGAACGGG